rnacentral:rRNA from 1 species
CUACACAUGCAAGUCGAGCGCACCCUUCGGGGCGAGCGGCGGACGGGUUAGUCCCCCUUUGGGAAUGUACCCUUCUCUAUGGAAUAGCCUCGGGACACUGAGAGUAAUACCAUAUACGCCCUUCGGGGGAAAGAUUUAUCGGAGAAGGAUCAGCCCGCGUAAGAUUAGAUAGUUGGUGGGGUAAUGGCCUACCAAGUCUACGAUCUUUAGCUGGUUUUAGAGGAUGAUCAGCAACACUGGGACUGAGACACGGCCCAGACUCCUACGGGAGGCAGCAGUGGGGAAUCUUAGACAAUGGGCGCAAGCCUGAUCUAGCCAUGCCGCGUGUGUGAUGAAGGCCUUAGGGUCGUAAAGCACUUUCGCCAGGGAUGAUAAUGACAGUACCUGGUAAAGAAACCCCGGCUAACUCCGUGCCAGCAGCCGCGGUAAUACGGAGGGG